rnacentral:ncRNA from 1 species
GGGCCGGCAAGACAACUAUUCAACGAGUAUCUGAGUCGAUAGACUUGGGAAAUCUUUUGAAAAUAGUUCGUGAUGGGGAUUGAUGCUUGUAAUUUUUCAUCAUGAACGAGGAAUUCCUAGUAAAUGCAAGUCAUCAACUUGCGUUGAUUACGUCCCUGCCCUUUGUACACACCGCCCGUCGCACCUACCGAUUGGAUGAUCCGGUGAACACUUUGGAUUUUUAAUUAUUUAUCGGCUUGCUGGUAGAUAGUUGAAGAGAAGUCGUGUAAAUCUUAUCAUCUAGAGGAAGGUGAAGUCGUAACAAGGUUUCCGUAGGUGAACCUGCGGAAGGAUCAUUA